CAUUCAUGGUCCUCGAACUUUAUCAUCAAACUCUGCAGCCACCAUUAGACGAGAAUACCUGUACAUCUCCAGCUGCAAACACACCUUCAACAGAAGUUUUUGCAGAACCUUCGUCAACUAAUACAUAGCCUGUCCUGUCAAGUUCAACUUGGCCUUCCAACAGCUGGCUAUUAGGCAAAUGACCAAUGCCAUAGAACAAGCCUCUUGCCUCAAGUACAAAUUCUUCCCCAGUAUCAAAUUUUCUAGUCAAAAUACCAGACAUCUGCCCUUUAGUAUUGCUAACAACAUCCCCCGCCCCUCUGUAUUGAAGUGCACGGUGAUAUUUGGAUUUCUGAACAAUCUGAAACAUUCGCGAUGAUCAACCUAUCUUGCAUUGCUUUAGAUGCCCUAAGUUGAUCCUUGCGCACAAGCAAAUGAACAUGACGGGCAUACUUGGUUAGGUAUAAUGAUUCCUCUGUAGUUGUAUCACCACCUCCAACAACGGCUAGAACCUGCC
rnacentral:misc_RNA from 1 species